rnacentral:rRNA from 1 species
GCAGAUUAUCAGGAGGAGCGACCGUGGCGAAGGGCGGGUCUACUGGGCCGAGAAAUGACACUGAGGAACGAAAAGCAUGGGGAGCGAACAGGAUUUAGAUGCCCUGGUAGUCCAUGACUGUAAAACGUUGGGCACUAGGUGUGGGGGGUCUUUCGGGGGUCUUCCGCGCCGUAGCUAAACGCAUUAAGUGCCCCGCCUGUGGAGUACGGCCGCAAGGCUAAAACUCAAAGGAAUUGACGGGGGCCCGCACAAGCGGCGGAGCAUGCGGAUUAAUUCGAUGCAACGCGAAGAACCUUACCAAGGCUUGACAUGGGCCGGUGGUUCCCGGAGACGGGAGCGUCCCCUUUUUGUGGGCUGGUUCACAGGUGGUGCAUGGUUGUCGUCAGCUCGUGUCGUGAGAUGUUGGGUUAAGUCCCGCAACGAGCGCAACCCUUGUCUCGUGUUGCCAGCACGUUGUGGUGGGGACUCGCGGGAGACUGCCGGGGUCAACUCGGAGGAGGGUGGGGAUGACGUCAAAUCAUCAUGCCCCUUAUGUCUUGGGCUUCACGCAUGCUACAAUGGCCGGUACAGUGGGUUGCGAUGUCGUGAGGCGGAGCGAAUCCCUGAAAGCCGGUCUCAGUUCGGAUCGGUGUCUGCAACUCGACACCGUGAAGUUGGAGUCGCUAGUAAUCGCAGAUCAGCAACGCUGCGGUGAAUACGUUCUCGGGCCCUGUACACGCCGCCCGUCACGUCAUGAAAGUCGGCAACACCCGAAGCCCGUGGCCUUAUGGGGAGCGGUCGAAGGUGGGGCUGGUGAUUGGGACGAAGUCGUAACAAGGUAACC